UCACGGUGGAUCCGUGGGGAGUGCCAUUUCAGUGUUGUCAUCCAUGUUGGCCAUUGUCCCUAACCACAGUGAUGGUCUUGGAAACCUUGGAAUUGCUUAUCUUCAAAGUGGAAACGUGGAACUAUCAAAAUCAUCCUUUCCUUCCGAGCUUCACUUCAAAGUCUUAAAACGUGUCCACUAUAAAAAGAGUCUAGUUCUAUGUCGACCAGUGUCUUGCACGUUUGGUGACUCACUCUAAAAUCAUUUGUAAAACCUCAAGUCUACUACUAACAGAUACUGUUCAUUUUGACUCGUUACGUAUCGCCAUCUCCCUCAUGAUUUUAAAACGCAUUCACUAGGGAGAGGUUUUCACAUUCUUAUAAACAAUGCUUCAUUCUCCUCUCCAACAUAGAUGAGAUCUCACAAAUAUACAAGGAUUCGUUGAUUUGGUUAAGAAAUUGAAUAAUUUUCUUUGAAUACAUGGAUAAGUUGUUUAAGCUUACGAUUUAAUUGUGGGUAGCAAGAGAGGUCGGGCAGUGACAAUUGAGAGGUUGUCACUGAGUAUUUCUAGUCACACGAGAAGAGAGGUCAAAUGGCA